UACGAAGGACCCGAGCGUUAUCCGGAUUUAUUGGGUUUAAAGGGUGCGUAGGCGUCCUGGAAAGUUACGGUUGAAAUCUCCUUGCUCAACAAGGAAACUGGCCGUAAAACUAUUAGGAUUGAGUACAUUUGAAGCGGGCGGAAUGUGUCAUGUAGCGGUGAAAUGCUUAGAUAUGACACAGAACACCGAUUGCGUAGGCAGCUCGCUAAACUGUAACUGACGCUGAGGCACGAAAGCGUGGGGAGCAAACAGG
rnacentral:rRNA from 1 species